rnacentral:misc_RNA from 1 species
CCGGUGUAUUACAACUCAUCAACCCCUGUGAACAUACCUAAAACGUUGCUUCGGCGGGAACAGACGGCCUGUAACAACGGGCCGCCCCCGCAGAGGACCCCUAACUCUGUUUUUAUAAUGUUUUUCUGAGUAAACAAGCAAAUAAAUUA